CACGGGGGGAGCAAGCGUUGUUCGGAAUCACUGGGCGUAAAGGGCGUGUAGGCGGUCAAGUAAGUGGAAUGUGAAAUGCCUCGGCUUACCCGGGGACCUGCAUCCCAAACUGCUUGGCUUGAGUAUGGGAGAGGAUGAGGGAAUUCCUGGUGUAGCGGUGAAAUGCGUAGAUAUCGGGAGGAACACCUGUGGCGAAAGCGGCUCACUGGACCAUUACUGACGCUGAGGCUCGAAAGCUAGGGGAGCAAACAGG
rnacentral:rRNA from 1 species